rnacentral:rRNA from 1 species
GCAAGUCGAACGGUAACAGAGGAGCUUGCUCCUGCUGACGAGUGGCGCACGGGUGAGUAAUGCAUAGGUAACGUGCCCCUUAGUCUGGGAUAGCCACUGGAAACGGUGAUUAAUACUAGAUACGCCUUCUUCCUUAAUGGAAGUUGGGAAAGUUUUUCGCUAAGGGAUCGGCCUAUGUUGUAUCAGGUAGUUGGUGAGGUAAUGGCUCACCAAGCCUAUGACACAUAGCGGGUCUGAGAGGAUGAUC